rfam:Desulfuromonadales bacterium GWD2_54_10 gwd2_scaffold_3417, whole genome shotgun sequence.
GGUAUAGUAUACUUAGAUAAAAAGAUUGCGAGGGUUGUAACAGACCCUCAUUUGCCCUGGUGACUUUCCCUCCUAGUUGCCAGGGUGUUUUU